AGCAGCCGCGGUAAUUCCAGCUCCAAUAGCGUAUAUUAAAGUUGUUGCAGUUAAAAAGCUCGUAGUUGAAUUUCGAGACCGGUUUACUGGUCGUGCUUUUGUACGUACUGGUAUUAUUGAUUUCUCCCUUCUGAUGAACCAUGAUGUCAUUAAUUUGGUGUUAUGGGGAAUCAGGACUAUUACUUUGAAAAAAU
rnacentral:rRNA from 1 species